rnacentral:tRNA from 1 species
GGCAGUGUGGCAUAGUGGAUAGAGCAUCGGCCUGGGAGUCAGAAGGACCUGGGUUUUGAUCCCGGCUCUGCCA